UCCGGUUUGUCACCGGCAGUCUACUUAGAGUGCUCCACUUGCGUAGAUAGCAACUAAGUAUGGGGGUUGCGCUCGUUACGGGACUUAACCCAACAUCUCACGACACGAGCUGACGACAGCCAUGCAGCACCUGUGUCGGCUCCUCUUGCGAGGUCGGUCCCCUUUCGGUUCCCUACCACCGACAUGUCAAACCCAGGUAAGGUUUUUCGCGUUGCGUCGAAUUGAACCACAUACUCCACCGCUUGUGCGGGCCCCCGUCAAUUCCUUUGAGUUUCAGUCUUGCGACCGUACUCCCCAGGCGGCGAACUUAACGCGUUAGCUUCGAUACUGCGUGCCAAAUUGCACCCAACAUCCAGUUCGCAUCGUUUAGGGCGUGGACUAC
rnacentral:misc_RNA from 1 species